rnacentral:rRNA from 1 species
UACGGAGGGUGCGAGCGUUGUCCGGAAUCACUGGGCGUAAAGGGCGCGUAGGUGGCGCGGGAAGUCAACGGUGAAAGUUCGGGGCUCAACCCUGAAUCGGCCGUCGAUACUCCCGGGCUCGAGCACUGUAGAGGCAGAUGGAAUUCCGGGUGUAGCGGUGGAAUGCGUAGAGAAUCCGGAAGAACACCGGUGGCGAAGGCGGUCUGCUGGGCA